rnacentral:rRNA from 1 species
GUUGUAUAGUCAAGUAAUUAAGUGCAUGUGGUGGAUGCCUUGGCAGUCAGAGGCGAUGAAAGACGUGAUAGCCUGCGAAAAGCUCCGGGGAGGCGGCAAAUAUCCUUUGAUCCGGAGAUGUCUGAAUGGGGGAACCCACCUACUUUAAGGUAGGUAUUGCAACAUGAAUACAUAGUGUUGCAAGGCGAACGAGGGGAAGUGAAACAUCUCAGUACCCUUAGGAAAAGAAAUCAAUUGAGAUUCCCUCAGUAGCGGCGAGCGAACGGGGAUCAGCCCAUUAAGUUAUGUGUGUUUUAGUGGAACGCUCUGGGAAGUGCGAACGUAGAGGGUGAUAUUCCCGUACACGAAAGGGCACACAUAAUGAUGACGAGUAGGGCGAGGCACGUGAAACCUUGUCUGAAUAUGGGGGGACCAUCCUCCAAGGCUAAAUACUCCUGACUGACCGAUAGUGAACCAGUACCGUGAGGGAAAGGCGAAAAGAACCCCUGUGAGGGGAGUGAAAUAGAUCCUGAAACCGCAUGCAUACAAGCAGUGGGAGCACCUUCGUGGUGUGACUGCGUACCUUUUGUAUAAUGGGUCAGCGACUUAUAUUCAGUAGCAAGGUUAACCGUAUAGGGGAGCCGUAGAGAAAUCGAGUCUUAAUAGGGCGUUUAGUUGCUGGGUAUAGACCCGAAACCAGGCGAUCUAUCCAUGAGCAGGUUGAAGGUUGGGUAACACUAACUGGAGGACCGAACCCACUGUCGUUGAAAAGCCAGGGGAUGACUUGUGGAUAGGGGUGAAAGGCUAAUCAAGCCUGGUGAUAGCUGGUUCUCCCCGAAAGCUAUUUAGGUAGCGCCUCGGACGAAUACCAUAGGGGGUAGAGCACUGUUUCGGCUAGGGGGUCAUCCCGACUUACCAAACCGAUGCAAACUCCGAAUACCUAUGAGUACUAUCCGGGAGACAGACUGCGGGUGCUAACGUCCGUAGUCAAGAGGAAAACAAUCCAGACCGCCAGCUAAGGCCCCAAAAUCAUAGUUAAGUGGGAAACGAUGUGGGAAGGCAUAGACAGCUAGGAGGUUGGCUUAGAAGCAGCCACCCUUUAAAGAAAGCGUAAUAGCUCACUAGUCGAGUCGGCCUGCGCGGAAGAUGUAACGGGGCUAAAACUAUGUGCCGAAGCUGCGGAUGUAUACUUUGUCAAGUGGUAGGGGAGCGUUCUGUAAGCCGAUGAAGGUGUAGUUGAGAAGCAUGCUGGAGGUAUCAGAAGUGCGAAUGCUGACGUGAGUAACGACAAAACGGGUGAAAAACCCGUUCGCCGAAAGACCAAGGGUUCCAGUCCAACGUUAAUCGGGGCUGGGUGAGUCGACCCCUAAGGCGAGGCCGAAAGGCGUAGUCGAUGGGAAAAUGGUUAAUAUUCCAUUACUUCUGUGUAAUGCGAUGAGAGGACGGAGAAGGCUAAAUCAGCCUGGCGUUGGUUGUCCAGGUGAAAGGAUGUAGGCAUGUAUCUUAGGCAAAUCCGGGGUACUCUAUGCUGAGAUCUGAUAGCAAGCUGUACUUGUACAGCGAAGUGGUUGAUGCCAUGCUUCCAGGAAAAGUCUCUAAGCUUCAGUUACACAGGAAUCGUACCCGAAACCGACACAGGUGGUCAGGUCGAGUAGACCAAGGCGCUUGAGAGAACUCUGCUGAAGGAACUAGGCAAAAUGGUACCGUAACUUCGGGAGAAGGUACGCUGUUGUUGGUGAUGGAACUCGCUUCCUGAGCUGACGACAGCCGCAGAAACCAGGCCGCUGCAACUGUUUAUUAAAAACAUAGCACUCUGCAAACACGAAAGUGGACGUAUAGGGUGUGAUGCCUGCCCGGUGCUGGAAGGUUAAUUGAUGGGGUUAGCGUAAGCGAAGCUCUUGAUCGAAGCCCCAGUAAACGGCGGCCGUAACUAUAACGGUCCUAAGGUAGCGAAAUUCCUUGUCGGGUAAGUUCCGACCUGCACGAAUGGCAUAAUGAUGGCGGCGCUGUCUCCAGCAGAGGCUCAGUGAAAUCGAAAUCGCUGUGAAGAUGCAGUGUACCCGCGGCUAGACGGAAAGACCCCGUGAACCUUUACUGCAGCUUGACACUGAACUUUGACCUUACUUGUGUAGGAUAGGUGGGAGGCUUUGAAGCUGGAACGCUAGUUCCAGUGGAGCCGUCCUUGAAAUACCACCCUGGUAAUGUUGAGGUUCUAACUCUGUCCCGUGAUCCGGGACGAGGACCGUGUCUGGUGGGUAGUUUGACUGGGGCGGUCUCCUCCUAAAGAGUAACGGAGGAGUACGAAGGUGCGCUCAGCGUGGUCGGAAAUCACGCGUAGAGUAUAAAGGCAAAAGCGCGCUUAACUGCGAGACCCACAAGUCGAGCAGGUACGAAAGUAGGUCUUAGUGAUCCGGUGGUUCUGUAUGGAAGGGCCAUCGCUCAACGGAUAAAAGGUACUCUGGGGAUAACAGGCUGAUACCGCCCAAGAGUUCAUAUCGACGGCGGUGUUUGGCACCUCGAUGUCGGCUCAUCUCAUCCUGGGGCUGAAGCAGGUCCCAAGGGUAUGGCUGUUCGCCAUUUAAAGAGGUACGCGAGCUGGGUUUAGAACGUCGUGAGACAGUUCGGUCCCUAUCUACCGUGGGCGCUGGAAAUUUGAGAGGAUCUGCUCCUAGUACGAGAGGACCAGAGUGGACGAACCUCUGGUGUACCGGUUGUGACGCCAGUCGCAUCGCCGGGUAGCUAUGUUCGGAAGGGAUAACCGCUGAAAGCAUCUAAGCGGGAAGCCUACCUCAAGAUAAGAUUUCCCUAGGACUUUAUGUCCUCUAAAGAGCCGUUCGAGACUAGGACGUUGAUAGGUUGGAUGUGGAAGCAUAGUGAUAUGUGAAGCUGACCAAUACUAAUUGCUCGUGAGGCUUGACUAUACAACACCCAAGCAGUUG